GUGCCAGCAGCCGCGGUAAUACGUAGGGGGCAAGCGUUAUCCGGAAUCACUGGGCGUAAAGGGUGCGUAGGUGGUCCAUCAAGUCAGAAGUGAAAGGCAGCGGCUUAACCGCUGUAAGCUUUUGAAACUGACGGACUUGAGUGCAGGAGAGGUAAGUGGAAUUCCUAGUGUAGCGGUGAAAUGCGUAGAUAUUAGGAGGAACACCAGUGGCGAAGGCGACUUACUGGACUGUUACUGACACUGAGGCACGAAAGCGUGGGGAGCAAACAGGAUUAGAAACCCCUGUAGUCC
rnacentral:rRNA from 1 species